rnacentral:tRNA from 1 species
UAAAAACUUAGGUUAACACAAACCAAGGGCCUUCAAAGCCCUAAAUAAGGAUGACCUCCCCUUAGUUUUU